rnacentral:rRNA from 1 species
UGGGGAAUAUUGGACAAUGGGCGAAAGCCUGAUCCAGCCAUGCCGCGUGAGUGACGAAGGCCUUAGGGUUGUAAAAUCCUUUCGCCGAGGACGAUAAUGACGGUACUCGGAGAAGAAGCUCCGGCUAACUUCGUGCCAGCAGCCGCGGUAAUACGAAGGGGGCUAGCGUUGUUCGGAUUUACUGGGCGUAAAGCGCGUGUAGGCGGGUCGUUAAGUUGGGGGUGAAAUCCCGAGGCUCAACCUCGGAACUGCCUUCAAAACUGGCGACCUGGACCUAAGUAGAGGCAAGUGGAAUUGCGAGUGUAGAGGUGAAAUUCGUAGAUAUUCGCAGGAACACCAGUGGCGAAGGCGACUUGCUGGACUUAUGGUGACGCUGAGACGCGAAAGCGUGGGGAGCAAACAGGAUUAGAUACCCAGGUAGUCCCUGAGCGGGCUGGCAAGGCGCAU